CUUGUCAUGCCACCCCUGUUUAUGCUUUGUGCAAGUCUUCCUUCUGGGGGUUUUGGUGGUGGAGACAUCAGGAGAGGGACACGCACACAAGGAGAAGGACUCCUGAAGGCAGCCAGGAAAGAGGUAGAGGCACCAGCAGGAACUGAAAGCAGCAGCUUUCUGCAGAGGAGUCAGACACCAAGACACAGACGGAUGCUUACAAAGCAGGGAUGGACACCAGCUAAGACACCACACAAAUCCACACAGGACAUUGGAAGGCAAGAAGAAGGAAGAACAAAGUGUGGAUGCUUCAGUGCUUCUUAGAAGGGUCACAAAAUACACAGGAGGAAAGUGUGGAGGACAAACUGAAGUGAAAGGCCACCCCAAGACUGCCCCACCUGGGGAUCCAGCCCAUAUACAACCACAAAACCCAG
rnacentral:lncRNA from 1 species